CCGGGGGCGGCGCGUUUUAAGCAUGCAAGUCGCACGGUAUACAGAGCUUCGGUUUUGUAGAGAGUGGCGGACGGGUGAGUAACACGUAGGUGAUCUACCCUUGGGUGGGGGAUAGCCCAUGGAAACAUGGGGUAAUACCGCAUGAAGCCGAAAGGUUAAAGGAGCAAUUGUUCCGCCUGGGGAUGAGCCUGCGGUCCAUUAGUUAGUUGGUGAGGUAAAGGCUCACCAAGGCAGCGAUGGAUAGCCGGCCUGAGAGGGUGAACGGCCACACUGGGACUGAGACACGGCCCAGACUCCUACGGGAGGCAGCAGCUAAGAAUCUUCCGCAAUGGGCGCAAGCCUGACGGAGCGACGCCGCGUGGACGAAGAAGGCCGGAAGGUUGUAAAGUCCUUUUCUCUGAGAAGAAUAAGCUGGGGAGUGGAACGCCCCGGUGAUGACGUUAUCAGAGGAAUAAGCCCCGGCCAAUUGCGUGCCAGCAGCCGCGGUAACACGUAUGGGGCAAGCGUUGUUCGGAAU
rnacentral:rRNA from 1 species